rnacentral:rRNA from 1 species
UAAUACGUAGGGGGCGAGCGUUGUCCGGAUUUAUUGGGCGUAAAACGCUUGUAGGCGGCCACGCUGCGUCGGACGUGAAAUCUCCCGGCUCAACUGGGAGGGGUCGUGCGAUACGAGCGGGCUCGAGGCCGGUAGGGGGACGCGGAAUUCCCGGUGUAGUGGUGGAAUGCGUAGAUAUCGGGAGGAACACCAGUGGCGCAGGCGGCGUCCUGGACCGGCACUGACGCUGAGGAGCGAAAGCGUGGGGAGCGAUCCGGAUUAGAUACCCGGGUAGUCCACGCCGUAAACGGUGCGCACUAGGUGUCGGGGGUAUCGACCCCUCCGGUGCCGCAGCUAACGCAUUAAGUGCGCUGCCUGGGGAGUACGGCCGCAAGGCUA